ensembl:lncRNA
GGGUGGGGUAGGCGGGGAGAGCUGCCACUGGAUCUGCUUAAUCUGGAACCAGGGUCAAAGCAGUGACUGUCGGAAGCCACCAGGCCAAGAUGUCUUUCUAUCAUGGCUGGUGUCUUAUCACCAUACCCAGAGAGGGCUUCCCUUGGAGCUCUAGAAAGACGAUGACAGCAAAAAGUUAUCAAUCCCAAGGUGUAUAAAAAGGACAAAGCAGCGCCCUGAAAUCACACCCACUGGACGGAGAGCAUUUUAUACACUGGGCUACGUGACUUUGGCUUCUGACAGUUGGACUGAAAGAAGAGUAUUCAGAAAGUCUGUGGAGUGACUGAUUGGACAGAGCUGUCCCUUAUCAUACUGUAACUGAGCCAUGGUUCUGGCUGGAUAGCUUGGGGUCCUGGGAAUCAGGACUGCCAGGCUCAGAUGCAUCUGAAUGUGUCUGGAGCAGUUGCCGGGAGGGUCAGGAGCAGUCUGCUCUCAGAAGGAUCUAGGAAUCACUUGGAAAGGGUCCAGCCUGUGCACAUUGUUCCUCUUGUCCUGACUAUCCUGAGUGAGGGGCUAUAACGGUCAGAAACUGUUCUGUUGAUGGCUCUGGAGAGGCCCCCUGGAACUCUAGUUCUCAGCAGCCAACUCUGGUGAUGGAGGAUGGGAUUUAAAUGGUGGACACCUAAAGGAGAAGAAAGCACAAAAGACAUUUAGGUUGCAUCCUCAUCUGCCUAUUGUGAACAGUGCUGCAGUGAACAUGGAGUGCUAAUCUCUCUUUGAGAUCCUGAUUUCAGUACUUUUGGAUAACUGUGCAGAAGUGGGGUUGCUGGAUCAUACAGUAAUACAACUCAAUAGCAAAAAAACCACCCUAAUUACCCAAUUUAAAAAUGGGCUAAAGACUUGAAUAGACACUUCUUUGAAGAAGACAUACAGAUGGGCAACAGGCAGGUUCUUUACCAGUAGCACCACAUGGGAAUCCCUAGCAAAAGAAAGGUGACUGCUAGUUCCAACAAGGAUGAGUUCACACAUGAGGUCAGAUGUGUUUCUUUAAGAAGAGGGCAGUUGGACUUCCCUGGUGGUACAGUGAAUAAGAAUCCACUGGGGACAUGGGCUCGAUUCCUAGUCUGAGAAGAUUCCACAUGCCAUGGGCAACUAAAGCUUUUGUACCACAACUACUGAGCUCUAGGGCCAGAGAGCCACAGCUAAUGAGCCUCUGUGCUGAAGCCCUCGAAUCCUAGAGCCUGCCUGCUGCUAAUACUGAAGCCGGUGUGCCUAGAGCCUGUGCUCCGCAAGGAAGAGCAGCCCCUGCUCGCUGCAGCUAGUGAAAGCCCUUGCACAGAAAUGAAGAUCCUGUGCAACGAAAAAUAAAUAAUAAUGAAAAAAAGGAAAAAACCAGUUAUUUCAAAUUUGCUGGCCUCUUGCUUGUGACUGUCUGUGUGUGUGAGCUCACACGGAAGCACACACACAUCCCCACACCCACUCCCCCCUGCACACACAUAUAUAUACACACACACACACACACAAUGUAUCCCUUCAGGUAAAGGUGAUGUUUUGGGAGUUAAUAUGACUGUGCUUUAAAAUAAUCAUGUUAUGGGGAAAGCAUUUUGAAAAUUGAUGUUUGGAACUGUUUCUAUUAUUAUGUGAUUUUAAUGCCAAAAUGAAGUGUCUCAUUGCCAACUAUAGAGACUGGCAUAGCCACAGCCUCCAAAAUUAAGAAGUACACUUUUAAAACCCAUUUUGCAUUCUUCCAAAUGAAGAGUUUCUGGAGUUUAAAAAAUCCCAUUGUUAAAAAUAUCCCCAGAAACAACUGAUGAAAAUGAAACGGCUUCUAAAACAUCAACCAGCUUAUACUGGUUUUUGCCUCCCCAACCAGCUUAAACUGGUUCUGCUUCCUUCAAAUAAGUUCAUUAAUCAAACCUUGACUUAUUUUACAGAGACAACAGUGCAAGAUGGGAAACCAUCUCUCCAGGAUGACCCCCAACCAAGAAUCUUCAGUCUACAGAACUCAAAGAAUCAAAAGGUUGCCACUGGAACCCUUAACAAAGCAAAGAACUAAGUCAUUCAAUAAGGAAAACCUGGCUUCCAGUAGCAUGACUAGCUUAUAUGUUCUGAUUCAAGACUAGCCAAUCAGCUUCCAAGUUUGAAAUUCCCCUAACCCCUUAAAUUUUAUUUAAACCAACCCUGGAUCAUGGAGACAGAUUUGAGAGCUUUGUCUCCUGUCUCUCUGCUGGUUAACCUCACAAUAAAGAUUUUUUUCCCCCUCAAAA